rnacentral:sRNA from 1 species
UCCCUUCCAACUGCACCGCGACGAACCC